AUUGAACGCUGGCGGCAGGCCUAACACAUGCAAGUCGAGCGAGAGGCGGACGGGUGAGUAAUGUAUGGGGACUGCCCGAUAGAGGGGGAUAACUACUGGAACCGGUAGCUAAUACCGCAUACUAUCGGAUAACCCAUAUGGGAGUAGCUAGUAGGUGAGGUAAUGGCUCACCUAGGCGACGAUCCCUAGCCGGUCUGAGAGGAUGAUCAGUCACACUGGGACUGAGACACGGCCCAGACUCCUACGGAGGCAGCAGUGGGGAAUAUGGCACAAUGGGAGCAAGCCUGAGGCAGCCAUGCCGCGGGUAUGAAGAAGGCCCUAGGGUGGUAAAGUACUUUCAGUCGGGAGGCGUUACCGACAGAAGAAGCACCGGAUAACUCCGUGCCAGAGGCCGCGGUGAUAC
rnacentral:rRNA from 1 species